GCCCGUGGCUGGUGCCGGUGAUCCCAGCGCGGGGAGGCUGAGGCCGGCGGAUCGCUUGAGCUCCGGGGUUCUGGGCUGCAGCGGGCUGGGCCGAGCGGGUGUCCGCACUAAGUCCGGCAUCGAUAUGGGGACCCCGGGGAAGCUCGGGGGGCCCCAGGUCGCCUAAGGAGGAGUGAACCGGCCCAGGCCGGAACGGAGCAGGUCAAAGCUCCCGGGCCGGUCAGUGGUGGGAUCGCGCCUGUGAAUGGCCCCUGCAGCGUAGCCUGGGCGAGGCAGUGAGACCCGGUCUCUC
rnacentral:SRP_RNA from 1 species